rnacentral:tRNA from 1 species
GGAGAGGUGUCCGAGCGGCCGAAGGAACCCGCCUGGAAAGCGGGUGAGGGUUAAUCGCCCUCCGAGGGUUCAAAUCCCUCCCUCUCCGCCA